GUGCGAGACCGAUAGCGAACAAGUACCGUGAGGGAAAGAUGAAAAGAACUUUGAAAAGAGAGUUAAAGAGUACCUGAAACUGCUGAAAGGGAAGCGAAUCGUAUCCAGUGUCUAUAAUCUGCAGCAUAUUUCAUUGGCGGCAGUGUGCGUGCUUUUGCGUCGGAAGCGGCUUUUGUUGCUCUGUGCUUUUGCUGUGCGUGCUGUUGCUGGUGCCCUGUGUUGCGGUGGGACGUCAGAGUCAGUUCGUAUGCUGCGGGAAAUGGCCGCCGAGGAGGUAGGUCAGGACUUCGGUCUUGGCUGUUAUAUCUUGGUGGUUUGUUGUCGUGGUUGGGACUGAGGUGCCUACAAUGUGCUUUUGAGUGUGCCGGGUUCUCAUUUGGUGGACUGUUUGGAUAGCUUGCUAUGCUUGUGGUUUUUUCAUCGAGUGAUUGAGUCUGGUGGUAACUUGUUGCUGUUCGGGACUUUG
rnacentral:rRNA from 2 species